rnacentral:rRNA from 1 species
GACGAACGCUGGCGGCGUGCUUAACACAUGCAAGUCGAACGGAAAGGCCCUGCUUUUGUGGGGUGCUCGAGUGGAGAACGGGUGAGUAACACGUGAGUAACCUGCCCUUGACUUUGGGAUAACUUCAGGAAACUGGGGCUAAUACCGGAUAGGAGCUCCUGCUGCAUGGUGGGGGUUGGAAAGUUUCGGCGGUUGGGGAUGGACUCGCGGCGUAUCAGGUUGUUGGUGGGGUAGUGGCUUACCAAGGCUUUGACGGGUAGCCGGCCUGAGAGGGUGACCGGCCACAUUGGGACUGAGAUACGGCCCAGACUCCUACGGGAGGCAGCAGUGGGGAAUAUUGCACAAUGGGCGGAAGCCUGAUGCAGCAACGCCGCGUGCGGGAUGACGGCCUUCGGGUUGUAAACCGCUUUCGCCUGUGACGAAGCGUGAGUGACGGUAAUGGGUAAAGAAGCACCGGCUAACUCCGUG